rnacentral:rRNA from 1 species
UACGUAGGGUCCGAGCGUUUGUCCGGAAUUAUUGGGCGUAAAGAGCUCGUAGGCGGUUUGUCGCGUCUGCCGUGAAAGUCCGGGGCUCAACUCCGGAUCUGCGGUGGGUACGGGCAGACUAGAGUGAUGUAGGGGAGACUGGAAUUCCUGGUGUAGCGGUGAAAUGCGCAGAUAUCAGGAGGAACACCGGUGGCGAAGGCGGGUCUCUGGGCCGAUACUGACGCUGAGGAGCGAAAGCGUGGGGAGCGAACAGG